rnacentral:misc_RNA from 1 species
UACGAGAGCCCCAAGCGUUACCCGGAAUAAUUGGGCGUAAAGCGUCCGCAGGCGGAGAAGCGCGUCUGCUGUGAAAUCGUAAGGCUCAACCUUACGGCUGGCAGUGGAUACGGCUUUUCUUGAGGCAGGUAGAGGUAAGCGGAACUCCUGGUGGAGCAGUGAAAUGCGUUGAUAUCAGGGGGAACACCAAUUGCGAAGGCAGCUUACUGGUCCUGUCCUGACGCUCAGGGACGAAAGCGUGGGGAGCGAAUGGG